ensembl:lncRNA novel transcript
GCUUUACAGCACAGAUUUGCAGCUUUUAACCUGGAAGCUUCACAGCAAAGGCAAUUCGGCUUUACUUUGUUUCCCUUCGAAUCCCAAAGAAAGCAUUAUCUACUUUGUUACUAAACAGAGCAGGCAAUAUUUUAUAUUGCCAUAGUCAAUUAUGUGAGGCUGUGUAACCUUUUCCAGCUAUUACAGUCUUCAAAUCUUUCUGUGCUAAUGUUGCCAACAAUACAGAAGCAGCUUCAAAGCAUCUUUGCAGUGUUCGAAAGAGAAGACAGCUGGUACUGCUUAGAAACUAAGCUGCGAUGACCAGAUUUCUAAUUUAUAAAACUGGGGCAGCACACGUCAGGGGAACGUCGGCGGUGGUUUUGUGAAGAACACCCCAUGCCUGCUUUUAUAGAAGUCACAUAAACAACACCUAGUCUCAUUGGAAAACGAUGGAAACUUUGUCAGCAGAACUUCAUGAAAAAGAAAUCUCUUGUUUAGAAAAUAAGUCAUGAUUUAAAAGGACCAGCAGCAUCUGUGAAGAAACCCUGUCAAUCAGAAUCCUACACACAUGCAAAGGUUUGCCCGCCUCAGCCCUGUAGGACUGAUUCACUCAGACCACACUGCUAGCCCUGUCACCAAGCUUUCGUUCUUGUCUCCCUUUCUCUGUGCCAUUUUACCUCCACAAAGUUCAAAUUCUUUGUCUAUAUAAUCCUGAGUUAAAAUAAAGUUUCAGCAGAAGAAGUAAUAUGACCAAAUUAAGUAUAACAAGGGAGUUUUUAAAAAAUAAAUAAGCUAUAAGAUCCACUAAAGAAUUUACUAUGACAGGGAAAAAAUUAUGUAUUUUGUACUAAGUUACACACACUCUUUCAGGGGUACACUAAAACCCAUAUAACGCCAUUGACUAGAUAAGCCAUUAUAAGCUUAUAAGCAAGUUCCAAGAUGUCAAGAAAGGUGAUUAGAAAGUAUAGGGAAGCAUAAUCAGUAAUCAUCAUGAUAGAACUUAAUUUUCAGGUAUAUUGUUGAGCCAUGAUUCUUGUUUCAGAAAGUAGAAAGCAGACCACUUUCCCUGUCCCAUUGGUAAUGUGAAGGAAACAGUUCUGACUAGAAAUGAAGGGGAUUGACGAGGUGUUUUUGACACCUGUGCUCAGUCCAUUCCUCCUCCUUCCUCCAGACUUUUUGCUCUGUUCUUAGGCAGCGCAGAGAUAAUAGAAGAUCUGCAUGGUUGAGUGGGACUUCCUGGUUAUGUUGCUUAAGAUAUCUGAGCACAGGGAGGAGUAAGCCCUGCAAAAAGUCUAGGAAAUCUUCAGUGUUUCUAGUUUUCUGCUGCUCUAAUUAAACAUUUGAGAUAAAUUAACUGACACACAGAAUAAAAUCAGAUACCUUCUCUCUUGGAAUUGGUAGAGAUUACAUGUCUGAGAACUCAGUAUCUAGCCCAAAGCCCAACAUAUGCAAAGGCAAAAAUGACGAACGAUUUAGUAAACGAGAAUGCAGAAGCUGGGUAACCAGUUACCUAGAGAAAAGCAUUCACCUGAGCAAAGGUUACUGUCCAGGGAGUUUUGCUUGUGGUCAUAUAAAGAAAGCAUUAUAGUUAUUGAGGACUAUGUACUAAGGCUUUGUGACAGGCUCUGUUACUGUCUAGUGAAGAGGAUUCUGCCAUUUAGAAUAGGAAGGUGUACAAUGUUAACUAUUUUACGAAUUUAUUUUUUUUAGUGUGUUUUUUUUUUAUUCUGCCAAUUGGAAAGCCAUUUUCUAUAUUGUAACAACCUCAAAAACAAACACAUCAUACUAUUCCUUUUACAUUAAGAAAUCUGCAGUUAUAUUUCAGAAUAUGAAUUAGAUUGCUAGAAACACAUUCUCUCGAUACACACAUGGAUAUUUAAAGAAUUAUAAUAUUUUAGCCAUUUAAAAUUAUUUUCAUUUUCAUGAAGUAAACUCAAAAGCUUUCCCUAUCAAUAUGAAGAAAAUGUAAGAGGCCGGGUGCAGUGGCUCACGCCUGUCAUCCCAGCACUUUGGGAGACCGAGGCGGGCAGAUCACGAGGUCAGGAGAUCGAGACCAUCCUGGCUAACACGGUGAAACC